UUUCUGUCUUUUCCUGAAGCUCAAACCAUGCACUAAGCUACAUCUCCAUCAGAACUGGCAAUCACCAGUAAAUCUUCUUCAUGGAUAAGCUAGGCAAUGAGGAAAACCAAGGAUGAUGAUAGCAACACUGUUCAUCCUGGAUUAAAAUUCAGAUAAUUUUGCAUCGUGGAUUAAACCCGAGAGCCUGCCAAUUUACAUGGUUUUGCAGACAAGGCCUGCACAUCCCUGACUGCCUUUCAACACAGUGGCUUCCUGGGUUCUGGGUCAGGAGUCAUAUAUAGGACAGACCAGGUAAACAAGAUAAGAAAUGCCAUAGAAACCUUGCAGAGUAGUAAUUUUGCUAACAGCUUCUUAUCUGGGCCUGAUGGACACCACCUGAUCUGGAAGUACUGGAUCAAUAAAGACAAG